rnacentral:rRNA from 1 species
ACCCCUGUAUGCUUAGUAGCGGCGAGUGAGCGGCAAGAGCUCAAAUUUGAAAUCUGGUACUUUCAGUAUCCGAGUUGUAAUUUGAAGAAAGUUAUCUUGGAGUUGGCCCUUGUCUAUGUUCCUUGGAACAGGACGUCACAGAGGGUGAGAAUCCCGUGCGAUGGGGUGCCCAUUCUAUGUAAGAUACUUUCGACGAGUCGAGUUGUUUGGGAAUGCAGCUCUAAGUGGGUGGUAAAUUCCAUCUAAAGCUAAAUAUUGGCGAGAGACCGAUAGCGAACAAGUACAGUGAUGGAAAGAUGAAAAGAACUUUGAAAAGAGAGUGAAAAAGUACGUGAAAUUGUUGAAAGGGAAGGGUAUUUGAUCAGACUGAUAUUCAGUUAACACUGUUCCUUGUGGAUGGUGCUCUAGCUUUUUAUUGGGCCAGCAUCAGUUUAGGUGGCAGGAUAAGAACUGUUGAACGUGGCUCUUCGGAGUGUUAUAGCUUCAGUUGAUACUGCCUAUCUAGACUGAGGUCUGCGGCUUUGCCUAGGAUGCUGGCGUAAUGGUCUAAUACCGCCCGUCAAAAAACACGGACCCA